GCAAGAAAAAUGGUAAAGCCAAUAAAAACAAACACAAAUCCAUAUGCAACAGUUCUUUUGGUUUUUUGAAGAGAGAAAUGGCUUUUGAAGUCUGAUAUCAAGGUUCUGCCAUUGACGGGUGCAUAUUUUGUUACAUCUGCCAUCUGCAAUCUGCAAUUCCCAGAAAUCCCAGAAAUGUGUCUGUGUGAUGGAAAAAGAAGUUUAGGAAUUUCGCAGAGAAAGCAAGAGAAGAGGGAGAGAGAGAGAGAGUUUCAGUUUAACUAAAACAAAGAUUUUCUAGAGAAAAAUAUUAGGAAUUACGCAGGGAAUGCAAGAAAAGAGAUUAGAUAAUAGUGGAGAGCGAGAAAUUGUGACGCAAAUAGAUAGGACUCUCACUCUGUGGAGAUGGAGACACAAAAUUUCAAGACUCUCUCAAUAAGUUCGAUCGAUUCAUCUAAAAUUGAAAUUGAUAUUUAUAUUUCAGGAUAAUAGUGAAAAUAAGGAUAAAAUCUUUAUAAUAAAGUACCCAUCCUUUACAAGAUCAUAAAACUCUCCAGCGAUAACCAUUUAAUCACAAAGAAGAAGAAAAUGGAAAACAGAUUGUCAAAAUUCAUUUGCGUGUGGACCCGUGUAUUACAAUUGUACGGUGUAUUUGCCUCAAAAUUCAAUUCAAA
rnacentral:lncRNA from 1 species